UUCAGUUACAAUACGUGGCCUUUAAAUUAGUUUUGAAAUGGAAAUUUCUUGUUAAAGUGUUACAUCUUGUGCCAUAGUAAUACUAGAAGGUGGGCAGAUGUAUAUGAAAUACCUACACUAAAAGAAUACAACGAAAUAAAAAAACAUUUUUUAUUGGAAUACGGGCUCAUUUUAAAAAACCAAUUAGUAAAAGAAAUAAAGCAUGCCAAUAAGGAAACUGAAAAUAAUUUACUGUUAGCUGUAAUUGAAGACGCUAAAACAUCAGUUUUUGAAAAUCUUCUAUUUUUGUGAAGAGGUCAAUAGUAUUAUGAUUAAAAGGCUGUCAAAUGAAUACGAAUUAAUGUAAUAACCUGGUUAAGGAUAGUAUAGUCCAGCAUACGAUGAAUAAAUGGAAGGCCUUUUAGCCGCAAUAAACCAAACAAUAAUCCAUUAGAGAGCCGAUUUACAAACGUUUAUCAGUACAGGGAGUUAUUUUCAUUUUAGUAGUGUCGACAGGUUAUAUAUUUUAAAAUCAUUUGCACUUUGCCAUUAGUGAUGUUACAGUCAUGAUUUGUUAUAUGUUGACCGUGGGUUGAAGAAAAUUUCGACGACCGAAUAGAGGAGAGUAACGAACCAAAAAGAAAAUGUCAUUUGAAUAUGUGCUGCAAGAGAAUCGUUUUACGAGUAUAUAAAGGAAUGGUGACGCAGAGUGGAUUCGCAGGGAAGAUUUCCACACAAAAUCGGAUUUAGAUUUAGAAAUAAUAACAAGUGUAGUUGCAUUAAACAGACUGAACGAUUACCAAAAAUAUAAAUUCAAAAAUGUCCGCCCCAUGAAUUAAUAUCAGGGGGCAGUUGGAGAGAAUGUGUUAAUCUUGUGCUUGAAGUAGAAAAUAAUAAAAAGCGAAACUAAGAAAAACUAAUCUGACGACUAAUUUUAUUUAAUAUAUUUUUAUAUGUAAUAUUAAUUAAUACGUACAUAUAUUUUGUGUUUCAGUUUCCUAACCUGGACCGGUUGGAUUUAUUGGCCCAAAUAUGCCUCGGAUCAGAUAAAUACGUUUAUACAUUAUUACAGUCAUGACCGUUUAUCUUCGGUCGGACUAUGCCAUACAACGGCAGCAAAAAAAUUUAGAUGGAGUCGCGAUCUGUGUCAGACCCGGGACUUAUCAGCCCACCCUCGUAUACCGAUUAUCUAUUUUAUUAUUGAUCGUAUGCACAAAAACCAGAAAUGUCAGCCGACGAGCGAGGUGGUCUUUUAACAUUUCAAAGAAGAUAUCGAGU